rnacentral:rRNA from 1 species
GACGAACGCUGGCGGCGUGCUUAACACAUGCAAGUCGAGCGGUAAGGCCCUUUCGGGGGUACACGAGCGGCGAACGGGUGAGUAACACGUGGGUGACCUGCCCUCAGCUCUGGGAUAAGCCUGGGAAACUGGGUCUAAUACCGGAUAUGACUCCACGGUGCAUGUCGUGGGGUGGAAAGCCUUGUGCGGCUGAGGAUGGGCCCGCGGCCUAUCAGCUUGUUGGUGGGGUGAUGGCCUACCAAGGCGACGACGGGUAGCCGGCCUGAGAGGGCGACCGGCCACACUGGGACUGAGACACGGCCCAGACUCCUACGGGAGGCAGCAGUGGGGAAUCUUGCGCAAUGGGCGAAAGCCUGACGCAGCGACGCCGCGUGAGGGAUGACGGCCU